rnacentral:rRNA from 1 species
CCUACGGGAGGCAGCAGUGGGGAAUAUUGCACAAUGGGGGAAACCCUGAUGCAGCGACGCCGCGUGAGUGAAGAAGUAUUUCGGUAUGUAAAGCUCUGUCAGCAGGGAAGAAAAUGCCGGUACCUGACCAAGCAGCCCCUGCUAGCUACUAGCCAGCAGCCGCGGUAAUACGUAGGGGGCAAGCGUUCUCCGGAUUUACUGGGUGUAACGGGAGCGUAGACGGCAGGGCAAGUCUGGAGGGAAAGGCGGGGGCUCAACCCCCGGACUGCUCUGGAAACUGCCAGGCGAGAGUGCAGGAGAGGUAAGUGGAAUUCCAAGUGUAGCGGUGAAAUGCGUAGAGAUUAGGAGGAACACCAGUGGCGAAGGCGGCUUACUGGACUGUAACUGACGUUGAGGCUCGAAAGCGUGGGGAGCAAACAGGAUUAGAUACCCGAGUAGUC